GAUGAGAUUCCAACCAGAUCUCACUGUGACAUUUCAUCACCACGUGAUCAAUUCAAUGAGCCUUCCCAAUCCAAGUUUCAAACCAACCAUGGAACAGAAACACAAGUUGAAGGAACUCCAACUAAUUGUCCUGAACCCACAAAUGAAAAUAACACAGAGGUUAGGGCU